rnacentral:rRNA from 1 species
GACGAACGCUGGCGGCGUGCCUAAUACAUGCAAGUAGAACGCUGAAGGAGGAGCUUGCUCUUCUGGAUGAGUUGCGAACGGGUGAGUAACGCGUAGGUAACCUGCCUGGUAGCGGGGGAUAACUAUUGGAAACGAUAGCUAAUACCGCAUAACAGAAGAUGUUGCAUGACAUUUACUUAAAAGGUGCAAUUGCAUCACUACCAGAUGGACCUGCGUUGUAUUAGCUAGUUGGUGGGGUAACGGCUCACCAAGGCGACGAUACAUAGCCGACCUGAGAGGGUGAUCGGCCACACUGGGACUGAGACACGGCCCAGACUCCUACGGGAGGCAGCAGUAGGGAAUCUUCGGCAAUGGACGGAAGUCUGACCGAGCAACGCCGCGUGAGUGAAGAAGGUUUUCGGAUCGUAAAGCUCGGUUGUAAGAGAAGAACGAGUGUGAGAGUGGAAAGUUCACACUGUGACGGUAUCUUACCAGAAAGGGACGGCUAACUACGUG